GAUGAAGAACGUAGCGAAAUGCGAUAAGUAGUGUGAAUUGCAGAAUUCAGUGAAUCAUCGAAUCUUUGAACGCACAUUGCGCCCCUUGGUAUUCCAUGGGGCAUGCCUGUUCGAGCGUCAUUUGUACCUUCAAGCUUUGCUUGGUGUUGGGUGUUUGUCUCGCCUCCGCGUGUAGACUCGCCUCAAAACAACUGGCAGCCGGCGUAUUGAUUUCGGAGCGCAGUACAUCUCGCGCUUUGCACUCACAACGACGACGUCCAAAAGUACAUUUUUACACUCUUGACCUCGGAUCAGGUAGGGAUACCCGCUGAACUUAAGCAUAUCAAUAAGCGGAGGA
rnacentral:misc_RNA from 1 species